AGCGAACGCUGGCGGCAGGCCUAACACAUGCAAGUCGAACGCCCCGCAAGGGGAGUGGCAGACGGGUGAGUAACACGUGGGAACGUACCCUUUGGUUCGGAACAACUCCGGGAAACUGGAGCUAAUACCGGAUAAGCCCCUCGGGGGAAAGAUUUAUCGCCGAAGGAUCUGCCCGCGUCGGAUUAGCUAGUUGGUGGGGUAAAAGCCUACCAAGGCGACGAUCCGUAGCUGGUCUGAGAGGAUGACCAGCCACACUGGGACUGAGACACGGCCCAGACUCCUACGGGAGGCAGCAGUGGGGAAUAUUGGACAAUGGGCGCAAGCCUGAUCCAGCCAUGCCGCGUGAGUGAUGAAGGCCUUAGGGUUGUAAAGCUCUUUCGCCAGGGACGAUAAUGACGGUACCUGGAUAAGAAGCCCCGGCUAACUUCGUGCCAGCAGCCGCCGUAAAAC
rnacentral:rRNA from 1 species